GGCUGCAGAGCUGGAGUCAAACGAAGGAUGAAGAGGAGGAGACACAGACCGGCUGUACCGGCGAUCGUCAUGGGAAACGUGAGGUCUCUGGGGAACAAGACGGACGAGCUCGCCGCGCUGAUAAAGGCUCAGAGUGAAUAUCGUGAGUGCAGUGUGUUGUGUUUCACGGAGACAUGGCUUCACUCAAACAUCCCGGACCACAGCGUGGCGAUUCCCGGCUUCAGCACUGUUCGGGCGGACAGGGACAUGACAAGCAGUGGAAAGAAGAAAGAAGGUGGGAUUGCACUGUAUGUGAGUGAGAGGUGGUGUAAUCCCGGACAUGUUCACGUGAAGAAACGUCUCUGUACCCCGGACAUUGAACUGUUGACUGUGGGGAUGAGGCCUUAUUAUUUGCCCCGGGAAUUCACGUCUGCCGUCAUUAUCGGUGUGUACGUUCCUCCUUCAGCUGAUGCAGCGCUGGCCUGUGACGUCAUCCACUCCGCUGUUGCCCAGAUACAGACGCAGCAUCCUAAUGCAUUUAUUGUCAUCACUGGGGAUUUUAAUCACGUCUCACUGGACAAAACCCUUCCAACAUUUCACCAGUAUGUUGACUGCCCCACCAGAGACUGUAACACACUAGAUCUGUUGUAUGCAAAUGCUAAGGAUGCAUACAGUCCCACAGCCCUCCCCCCUCUUGGAAGAUCUGACCACAACCUGGUUCUGCUGACCCCUAAGUAUAUGCCUCUUGUUCAGCGGCAGCCUGUCCACACUAGGAGCGUGAGGAGGUGGACUCAGGAGGCUGCUGACGCACUACAGGACUGCUUUGAGUCGACAGACUGGGAUGCACUUGUUGAGCCACAUGGAGAGGAUCUCGACAGCAUGACCGACUGCAUCACAGAAUACAUCAGGUUCUGUGAACACACCACCAUGCCAACCCGGACUGUACGCUGCUUCCCUAAUAAUAAGCCGUGGAUCACCAAUGACCUGAAAGCCCUUCUUAACAAGAAGAAGAGGGCGUUCAGGUCUGGAGACAGGGAAGAACUGAGGAGAGCGCAGCAUGAACUCAGGGAUAUGCUGAGGGCCUGUAAAGAUGCCUACAGGAGGAAGCUGGAGGCCAAACUCCAGCAGAACAAUGUGAGGGAUGUGUGGACUGGUAUGAAGCAGAUCACUGGGUGUAAGGUGAGCGGCAGACAGUCAUCUGGCAGCCUGGAGAGGGCAAACGAGCUGAACAGAUUCCUCAAUAGGUUCAGCUCACAGCAUUCUGUCGUCUCCCUGACACCUCCAGACCCCCACACACCCUCACUGCCCCAAAUGCUUCCUCCCCUCCCCCCUCA
rnacentral:lncRNA from 1 species